rnacentral:lncRNA from 1 species
GUUAGAAGCCAGCCUGCUGGGUGGCUAAUCUGCCUGCUUCUGCCCACUUUCUUCAACCUCGGCAGAAGGGACCCUGGCUGGGUCAGCCUGGAGCAGACAGUACCCACUGUGCCCCUUAGCCUGCUGGCAGGGUACCCAAGAAGAUGGAGGACUUUGAAACCAGGAACCAACCCUGUCUUCCUGAGGGGCAGCGCCCCCGGGGAACAGCGGAGCACAAGAAUGGAGUGAGUUUGCCACAGCCCUCUGUCUGCUUUGGGUUGUGAGCCAGUGGUUGACAUUUCAGAGGGGACCCUCCGGAGAGAAGCCCAGCAGUGUCCUUCAGGGACUCCCCUCAUGCUGGGAGUGGAUGCCACACGUGCCUUUGAUUUGGGACAGAUCCUGCCUCACAGCCUGUGGCUGAGCAGCCAGCAUCUCCCCUGACCAAGGGCUGCUGGUUCCAACAGACACAGGAGGAAGAGUGCCCCUCAUCCCUCCUCCCAGGCAGAUCUGCCUUCAGCUCCCAACCCUAACCUCCUGGAUCCCCAAGCCCAUGUUCCUCCCAUGGGCGGAUGCAAACCGCUAGCCUCCUCUGUCAGAAGCCCAUGGUGACAUUGUUCUAUUCCCUUUUUUUGUGUGUGUUCAUGAGUUUGUUUAAAAUUGAAAUUAGUUAUUUUCUUCUGCUGGACAGUAUUAAAUAGAGCGGGGUGUUGAGUUCAUCUGCUAGAUUGCAGUACUAAUGGUAGUAGUGUAGUGUUUCCAUGAUAUUAUUUGUACUUAUUUGAACAAUAAUGAUAAAGAAGUGGUUCAUUAUUUCUUAAUUAAUGCACUUUAAAUAAGGUGGGGUGGAAAGAAACCCGGAGAGCAAAGUGCAUGGGCUUAAAGAUGCAGUAUAUACUCCUCUCAGUUUAAAACAGUACAUAUUUAUUAAAAGAGGAAAAAAGUAAUUUAUGACUAUUUAAAAUAAAAUUUAAAGUAGAGUGGCCGUCAGGUGAAAGGAUCUUCCACAUAGCUGUCUGCCAAGGGGAGGGCCCACAGCCUUACUCCUCAGAUGUCUGCAUUGAGCCAGCUCCAUGACUAGUGUGUCCGCCAGGCACAGAGCAUCUCAGUUGGACUGGACCACCGGGAUCCCCAGAGCCAGCUUUUCCCAUCUCCCCUGUCCUUGUCACAGCCUUCCGUCUGCAUCCCAAAGACCCUCUCAGAAUCCCCUGUGCCC